CAGAGAAUAGUUUAAUUAAAAUAUUAAUUUUGGAGAUUAUUGAUAAGAUGAAAAUCUUUUCUCUGA
rnacentral:tRNA from 1 species